rfam:Thielavia terrestris NRRL 8126 chromosome 2, complete sequence.
GCCUGGCUAGCUCAAUCGGUAGAGCGUGAGACUCUUAUGGAGAUUCUCCGUUAUCUCAAGGUUGCGGGUUCGACCCCCGCGUUAGGCU